GAGGUCUGAUUCCCUCUUGUCUCCUGGCCACUUCCUGCCUCAAGUCUUUCGAAAGAGCCCAAUUUCCAAGAGUUCAGAAGGCCUCUGGAGACCUUCUAGACAUCUCUGAAGAGGAACAGAGGUGACUCACCCCGGGUCACGCAGGGCUGGAAGCAGCAGAGCAACUGAGGGCAGAGUGGACUUUCUGAAAGCUACCAGUCCUCAGGGAACAGCUUCAGGAUUCACAGGAGUCCCGGUGGAGGGCUGUCUCAUCGGCUGCUGCAAUCUGCAUUUCAUUGUGGCUACUGGCUUUCCCGCCAGAGGCAGGCCUGCUCUCAGACAGAAUGGCCUACAGCAUCUGGUUUUUAUGGCAGAACCCAAAAGGACAGGUGAAAAAGAAAAUCAGAACUAAGGUAUGGGAUAACCAUGACAGGAUUCAAGGUAGAU